rnacentral:lncRNA from 1 species
CUCUGCUCUCUCACUCCGCCACUCAUGCUCCCUGAGCUGCUUGAGUGAGGAGAGCUGAAAGAGCUCUAGCCCAUGGCGUACUUCUGCGUCCACCCCCUUGCCGUGGACUCGUAUCUGAGGCGGUCGGUCUUGCACAUGUGCGCGAUCUCCGGCACCAGCGGGUCGUCCGGGUUUGGGUCCGUCAGCAGCGAGCAAAUGGAGAGCAGGACCUUGGAGAUGGUCAGCGCCGGGCUCCACUGCUCCUUGAGAAUGUCCAGGCAGAUGUUGCCGUUGCUGUUAAUGUUCGGGUGGAACACCUUCGUCUUGAACGCCACCUGUUUCAUUUGUUCGUGGUUUUCAUUCAUUCAGUUCGUCGUCGUCGAUGAGCAUGAGAUUCUCAGCUCAGACUUCAUAACAUUGCAUAAUUCAGCGAAAUUUUGGAGAUGAAGAGUGGGUGAGUACCUUGGGAGGCUUGAAUGGAUAGUCUGGAGGGAAGUGGAUGGUGACCAGGAACACGCCUCCAGAGUAGGGGCUGUCGCUGGGGCCGAUGAUCGUCGCUUGCCAGUGGAAUAUGUCAUCAGACACAGGGCCUGAUCACAAAGAACAGUUGAACCAGAAUUCAGAAGAAAGAAAAUUCAACUUUGAACUUCCUUUUUCUUUGGGGUCUGAAAUUGUAUGCCUGACCAUGUGUACAC